rnacentral:rRNA from 1 species
CAUAGGUUAAUGAGGCGAACCGGGGGAACUGAAACAUCUAAGUACCCCGAGGAAAAGAAAUCAACCGAGAUUCCCCCAGUAGCGGCGAGCGAACGGGGAGGAGCCCAGAGCCUGAAUCAGUGUGUGUGUUAGUGGAAGCGUCUGGAAAGGCGCGCGAUACAGGGUGACAGCCCCGUACACAAAAAUGCACAUACUGUGAGCUCGAUGAGUAGGGCGGGACACGUGGUAUCCUGUCUGAAUAUGGGGGGACCAUCCUCCAAGGCUAAAUACUCCUGACUGACCGAUAGUGAACCAGUACCGUGAGGGAAAGGCGAAAAGAACCCCGGCGAGGGGAGUGAAAAAGAACCUGAAACCGUGUACGUACAAGCAGUGGGAGCCUCUUAAUGGGGUGACUGCGUACCUUUUGUAUAAUGGGUCAGCGACUUAUAUUCUGUAGCAAGGUUAACCGAAUAGGGGAGCCGAAGGGAAACCGAGUCUUAACUGGGCGUUAAGUUGCAGGGUAUAGACCCGAAACCUGGUGAUCUAGCCAUGGGCAGGUUGAAGGUUGGGUAACACUAACUGGAGGACCGAACCGACUAAUGUUGAAAAAUUAGCGGAUGACUUGUGGCUGGGGGUGAAAGGCCAAUCAAACCGGGAGAUAGCUGGUUCUCCCCGAAAGCUAUUUAGGUAGCGCCUCGUGAAUUCAUCUCCGGGGGUAGAGCACUGUUUCGGCAAGGGGGUCAUCCCGACUUACCAACCCGAUGCAAACUGCGAAUACCGGAGAAUGUUAUCACGGGAGACACACGGCGGGUGCUAACGUCCGUCGUGAAGAGGGAAACAACCCAGACCGCCAGCUAAGGUCCCAAAGUCAUGGUUAAGUGGGAAACGAUGUGGGAAGGCCCAGACAGCCAGGAUGUUGGCUUAGAAGCAGCCAUCAUUUAAAGAAAGCGUAAUAGCUCACUGGUCGAGUCGGCCUGCGCGGAAGAUGUAACGGGGCUAAACCAUGCACCGAAGCUGCGGCAGCGACACUAUGUGUUGUUGGGUAGGGGAGCG